CCUACGGGUGGCAGCAGUAGGGAAUAUUGCUCAAUGGGGGAAACCCUGAAGCAGCAACGCCGCGUGGAGGAUGAAGGUUUUCGGAUUGUAAACUCCUUUUGUUAGAGAAGACAAUGACGGUACCUAACGAAUAAUCACCGGCCAAAUCCGUGCCAGCAGCCGCGGUAAUACGGAGGGCGCAAGCGUUAUUCGGAAUCACUGGGCGUAAAGGGCGCGUAGGCGGGAUAGCAAGUCAGAUGUGAAAUCCUAUGGCUUAACCAUAGAACUGCAUUUGAAACUGUUAUUCUAGAGUAUGGGAGAGGUAGGUGGAAUUCUUGGUGUAGAGGUGAAAUCCGUAGAGAUCAGGAGGAAUACUCAUUGCGAAGGCGGCCUGCUAGAACGUAACUGACGCUGAUGCGCGAAAGCGUGGGGAGCAAACAGGAUUAGAUACCCGAGUAGUC
rnacentral:rRNA from 1 species